rnacentral:rRNA from 1 species
GACGAACGCUGGCGGCGUGCCUAAUACAUGCAAGUCGAACGCUGAAGAGAGGAGCUUGCUCUUCUUGGAUGAGUUGCGAACGGGUGAGUAACGCGUAGGUAACCUGCCUUGUAGCGGGGGAUAACUAUUGGAAACGAUAGCUAAUACGGCAUAACAAUGGAUGACACAUGUAAUUUAUUUGAAAGGGGCAAUUGCUCCACUACAAGAUGGACCUGCGUUGUAUUAGCUAGUAGGUGAGGUAAUGGCUCACCUAGGCGACGAUACAUAGCCGACCUGAGAGGGUGAUCGGCCACACUGGGACUGAGACACGGCCCAGACUCCUACGGGAGGCAGCAGUAGGGAAUCUUCGGCAAUGGGGGCAACCCUGACCGAGCAACGCCGCGUGAGUGAAGAAGGUUUUCGGAUCGUAAAGCUCUGUUGUAAGUCAAGAACGGGUGUGAGAGUGGAAAGUUCACACUGUGACGGUAGCUUACCAGAAAGGGACGGCUAACUACGUG